GAGGGUCACGCAGCACAAUGCCAGCUCUGCCCCUGGACCAACUCCAGAUCACCCACAAGGACCCGAAGACAGGAAAGCUGAGGACUUCACCAGCGCUGCACCCCGAGCAGAAGGCAGACCGGUAUUUUGUGUUAUACAAACCGCCCCCUAAAGACAACAUUCCCGCCCUAGUGGAGGAGUACCUGGAACGCGCCACCUUCGUAGCCAAUGACCUCGACUGGCUCCUGGCCUUGCCUCACGAUAAAUUCUGGUGCCAGGUGAUCUUUGACGAGACUCUACAGAAGUGCCUGGACUCCUACCUGCACUAUGUCCCCCGCAAAUUCGAUGAGGGGGUGGCCUCAGCCCCUGAGGUUGUUGACAUGCAGAAGCGCCUCCAUCGAAGUGUUUUUCUCACCUUCCUCCGCAUGUCCACUCACAAGGAAUCCAAAGAUCACUUCAUUUCCCCUUCUGCGUUUGGAGAAAUCCUCUACAAUAACUUCCUCUUUGACAUUCCAAAGAUCCUGGACCUCUGUGUGCUCUUUGGAAAAGGCAACUCACCACUGCUCCAGAAGAUGAUAGGAGAAUCACUUGAACCUGGGAGGCAGAAGUUGCAGUGUUUGAGAUGGAGCAAGACUCCAUCUCAAAAAAAAAAAGAGACAAAGCCUUGCUCUGUCACUCAGGCAAGAGUGCAGUGGCGCAAUCAUAUCUCACUGCAGCUUCACAUUCCUGGACUCAAGCUAUCCCCCCAACUCAGCCUCCC
rnacentral:sRNA from 1 species